rnacentral:rRNA from 1 species
GAUGAACGCUGGCGGCGUGCUUAACACAUGCAAGUCGAACGGAAAGGCCCAAGCUUGCUUGGGUACUCGAGUGGCGAACGGGUGAGUAACACGUGGGUGAUCUGCCCUGCACUUCGGGAUGAGCCUGGGAAACUGGGUCUAAUACCGGAUAGGACGAUGGUUUGGAUGCCAUUGUGGAAAGUUUUUUCGGUGUGGGAUGAGCUCGCGGCCUAUCAGCUUGUUGGUGGGGUAAUGGCCUACCAAGGCGUCGACGGGUAGCCGGCCUGAGAGGGUGUACGGCCACAUUGGGACUGAGAUACGGCCCAGACUCCUACGGGAGGCAGCAGUGGGGAAUAUUGCACAAUGGGCGUAAGCCUGAUGCAGCGACGCCGCGUGGGGGAUGACGGCCUUCGGGUUGUAAACUCCUUUCGCUAGGGACGAAGCGUUUUUGUGACGGUACCUGGAGAAGAAGCACCGGCUAACUACGUG